rnacentral:lncRNA from 1 species
UUUGAAUCAAGAAUUUGGUGAGGGUAAAGAAAAUAGAAAUGGUAAAUUAUCCAAUGGUACCAAGUGGUUGGAUCGUCUAACUUUUCCGUUUCCAUUUCCUUUUUUCUCACCAAAUACUUCAUCCAAAUACAGCCUUAAAGAUAAGAAUUGAGAAAUAGUGGUUCACUAUUCAGUCAAUAAAAAUAUAAGAACAGAAAGAUUUGAAAAGGUAAAGAUGCUCUUACCAACUAAUGCAGAGUCCUUUAAUCAUAACGAGACUCAUUGUCUCAUCAAGACAAAAAGAUAUGGAAACCAGAAUGCACCUUGUAAUUUUAAGAUUAAAUAUCAGUCUGACUGUCAGAGAAUAAUAUACUCCUACACAUAGAGGGGGCAUAUCCUCUUGAUGUUAACUUUUUUAUUAAAGCAAAGACCCCUCCUUCUAAAUUCAACUUCCUUGAACUAGUAAGAACUCAGCAAACUUGUAUAGUGCUACAACAAUUCGUCCAAAACCUUGAAAAGUGUAUUAUUGUACUUAUGAUGGGAACAAAGAAGGUUGACAGCAAAUUAAUUAUUAAAAAAAUAAAAAAAAACCGAGAGGUUGAUCUUUUAGAAAUUAUCGAAUACUGUGGAUGACAAUGUUACCCAUUUUCCGAAGCACAACAGAAUGAACCCAGUUGCAUAAAACUUUCUUGGAACGCCCCAAUCGCGGCAAUGGGUCUUUUACUCAAUUUUUUCCCAUUGAAUUUCUGAAUGGCCUGAAAAGUGGGAAGGAAGAAGUGAUGAGAAAAAUAUAAGAAAUGCGUUAACCUAUCUGAUCUAAAAUAAAAUUUUCACAACAACUUCAAGUAGAUCGUGCAUGAAAACUAUACUUUUGCUUCUUGCUUGGUUUUGUAACUUAACGGAUGCCAAAUCCCUUAGAAACCCUGCAAACGCAGCAUACUAGAUAUAAGCAUUGAGGAAAUGACAAGGGACAUCAAAAAACAAAUGUGGGAUUAAAAAAGACUACCCAUUUAUGUUUUGCCAAUGUUUAAACCUAGACUUCUCCAGGACAAAAACAAUCACCCUCAAGCCAUAAUAUGCAUACAACAGGCAUACAUAUAAGGUGAAACUUGUUAUUGUUUACAAAGCCAACCUUAAAAGGCAGGUUUCUCACUAUUAGCUUCCAUUUUUUAGUCUUAGAGCCCUGAUCACAAAUAUACAUGGAGGGAAAAAAAACUUAGAAUCUCAAAGGAUAAUCAUAAAGGAUUCAUAAUCAAAUACAAAAACCUUUACACUAUCUGUACAGGAAUAUCUCUCAAACCAUAUCACCUGGCACGUCUCCAACUCAUCACCUAUGCAGUUGCCAAUGCAGAGGUAUAAUGGUUAUGUGUUCGGCAUAAUUCAUCACUAAAGCCCUUACCACUUGUUAAAAUUUAGAACAUUCUGAUGAGAAAUGCAAUUCUGACCAACAAAAGGCGUACGUAUUUUGGCUUGCAAAAAUUACUUAGGCAAGAAAGAAAACGGUAUUUUAGGUUAGUUAAAAGAGAUGGAGCUUUUCCCUUCUGGGGAAAUCUUCACAUGUGAAAUAGAUUGGGUGGCAUGAUUCUUUUGUAUUCAGAUGCUUCAAAUUAGGGGCUGGGGCCUUUGACACCAGAUAGAAUCUAGAGUUUCUUUGGAAUGUAUACUUGUGCUAUGUUGUAGGUGAUGUGGUUAGAAGAACGUGAACAAAUCAUCACAGCCCUGAUAAAGCAUGAUCACAUGCACAUACAACAUAAGACAAACCCAACAUUUGACUUACCUCAGCAUAUUCAAAAGGCCGCACUAGAUCUGAGCAACAAACGACCAAUCCAUCAUAGAAGAAGGCGUCUAUUCGAAGAAAAAUAGGAUGAUUUAGGAAUUUGGGGCGAGUCAGAAGGAGAUCGAAGAUUGAGAGAGAGAGUGUGAUAGAGAUUGUCCUCUCCACAUUCAAGAACUCCUGAACGAGCAUCCUAAUUCAACCUACCCUCGAACUUCAAGCACCUUGAGACCAUGUCCUCCCGCUCCGUGAAGGUGCUUAAGUGAGUAACUCAACAUAACAAUGGAUACUAAUUAGUAAAAUAAGAGGACAAGUGAAAGAAUAGAGAAGAAUUAAAGAAUAUACUAUGAAGAGAAGAAGAAAACCCUUUAGAGCGAGCGUGAAAAAGGUUCUUCCCUCUCUCCGGAUUCCAACCAAGCUCUCCUCUCUCUCUCUCUCAGGAUGUAUGGGGAGUAGUCUCACGUCUCAGAACACAACACCCCCCUUAUAUGAUCUUGCGAGAUUCUUGACCGUUUGAAAUGGAUUUUGAUACUAACAAAUCUUAAUCCACUUGCCCCCAAAAAAAAUCCUAACCCUACUUACCCAAAAAUAAAAAUCUUUGAGAUUGUUGACCGUUUGAAAACCCCGGAUGAAGCGGGAUUGCAUUCCUAAAAAACUUUCCUAAUCCUAAAGGUGCCAGCCACACCCCACAGUUUUGAAUGCUUAAAAUUUGAAAAUCUACGUACAAAGGCAAUACCCAAAAUUCUCCCUCAAAACCCUAAUUACAUACCCACCCCAAGCACCACGUCACCCGCACCCCCCCCCCCCCCCCCCCCCCCCCCCGCCGCGUGAGUCCCACCCAACCCAACCACAACCUCCUCAACCACCACCUAAUUCCUCUCCCUCUCCCACCUCCGUCUCCUUUAGCCACCCCAAUCCCUAAUUUCUCUCUCUUUCGUCGCCGCCCCUCUUUCACGUGCUAGGGUUACGAAUAGAUUUGAAGAAUGUGGACACACCAGCGGCCAUGGAUUGGUCGGACGAAUGUUAAGGUGGGUCACCAGGGAGAGAGAUGAUGGCGGGGUGGUGGCUAUUAGGGUGGUGGAAGGAGGCGGAGGUUCAGAGUGGAUAUAUGGUGGCUGAGGACAGAGGGGGAAGGGAUCAGCGGUGGUAGGUGGCGGUGGCGGUGGCGGGCUGAGAGGGUGGGUGACAUCAGGCGUAGCAAGAUUUUAAGGUAGAGGAAUAAAAUUAAAAUAAUAAUAAUAAUAAUAAUAGUAUAAUACAUUUUAGGGGAAUAAAGUCUUAAAAAACAAUAGUAUAAAUUUUAUAAUUUUUUUUAAAUUACCGUUCUAGAUCCCACUAGCCCUGUCUGGUCCCGCCACUGGUGAGAUCGGAUUAUCCGGAGUAAGUAUUUGGUGAAUGGUUUUGAAUGUAUCGUUUUUGUGUUUAAUAUAAAAAACUAUUAUUUUAUUAUUAAUUAAAAUGAUGUUAUUUUUUUAUACAUUUCAAUCCCUUCGUAGUAAUCCCAUACUGAGAGGCUCCGGAUCCAGGUUGUAACGUAGUAGGGCUGUUCACGGGUCGGUCGGGUCUAGUUGGGCUACCCGACACCCGAACGCGAAAUGAUCGGAUUGGAAAAUUUGGCCGAAUCGAUCCAAAACGGUCGGAUCGGAUCGGAUCGGGGAAAUUUGGUCGGGUUGGUCGGGUUUGGAUUAAAAAUUAUUGAUUCUAUGUAAUAUUUUGUCGGGUUGAGCGUCUGAUUGGAUUAUUUAAUGGCCCGACCCCGACCAAAUGUGUUCGGUUAGUUUAAAUUCCACCCUUUAUUCAUCCGUAGAGUGAGCGGGUUUUGAUCGGGUUCGGGUUGGGUCGUCGGUCGGUCAAUUGACGGAUAUUUUGCACAUCCCUAGUACGUAAGAGGUGUUCUGUAAUUUGGAUAAUUCUAGGGUAAAGUAAUGAAAAAAAUGUUUAAAAAUAAACCCAGCACGGCAGCACCCCUGUGGGUUGACCGUAAUACAAUCCCACCCUGACCUGUGGAAAAUUACACUGGCACCCUAUUGAUUUUAUUUUAUCUCAAUAACACCACUAUUUCCCACUUCUACCCCCAUAUCUUCAUCAUCACAAACCUAGUCAUACACCCCCACAGACCACCAUCCUCCAACUCCACCCACCAGCAAUCAUCUCCAUCGUUGAUCCAACCCCCAUCCUCACUACCACCUUCUCACCUGCUUCCCAACAUUGUUACCGCCCUCAUCCCUCGUCACCCACCACUCGUUUCCAUGAAUGCCAAAAAGCCUUGAUACAUCUUGAAAACUGUCGUGUACAAUUGAUUGCCUGUAAUGAUAUUAUGUUCUCAAUUCGCAAAAUUAGAGGUUUUAUUUCCUCUCUCUUGCUGGCGAAUCGCAUAUUGCAUAGGUUCACGUUAGGGUUCGCUAAUGGUGAGAGCCCGGGAGGCUGUUCGAUGAGGGUAUAGAUAGAGAAGAUGAGAGGCUGGAGGAUAAAUAAUUAUUUAUAUUUAGCAAAGCUACAUUGACUUCCUAGACGUGGGAGAGUCAUGGUAGCAAUCCUAAAAAAUAAGAAAUCAUUUAGAGCAACUAUGGAAGAUGUUUUUUUUAUGAAAUAAUUCUAUACUUUAGCAAAUAAAUAGUUUUUAGGGUAUGUUGGAGAUGCUCCAUGUUAGGUGAUUAAAAAUAAGGUAAAUUUUAUCAUUCUUGCAGUUUGACUAGAGUGAAAAGCUUCGCUUUAAAUAAUUAGAAUUUACAAUUUAAAACUUGUGUAAAUUUAGUUCCCGUUAGGGUAAUAUAUAUUUUAUUUUAUAUAACAUAUAUUUGGUAUUAAUUACUAAUAAUAAAUUUUAAAUAUAUAAAUACAUAAAAACUAAUUGAUCAAUUUUUGAUGCACCGGCUAUCAUGUCACUUGGCAGAUUGCAGCUCGGCGAGUGAUUAGACGCGCUGACCACUGUGUCAAUGAGUAGGCGGUUGACCCAGCCAUGCUUAUAUGGCUUAGUUGGUAGCCUAUCAGCACGCUGUGAACAUCUCGCCCAAAGCAUUGAGGUUGUAAGAAGAAGAUUCGUCGUACAAGUUACCUUCUAUUGCUUGAUAUGCUUCUAGAUCGCCGUCGACUGUUGCCUCGUCCAAACUUUAGCGUAGUUACUCUACCGAGUUUAUUAGAUAGUGAUAGCUUGAGAGGAAUGGUGGUCUUAAAUCGAAUAGUGUCUAUAUUCGAUGGUGUCUAGGCUAAGCUCUGGCACAGGAGCCACCGAACUUAUUUCACAGCGAUAGCUCAGUAACAGUGUCUGCCCUAGUAAGGUCAGAAUCCAUAAUUGUAUAAUUUAUUCCCUUACAAUCAUUACGAGGGUUUAAGUUGAUUUUCAUACUCUCCAUUACAGCUUUAGCAAGUUUCAUAAAUNNNNNNNNNNNNNNNNNNNNNNNNNNNNNNNNNNNNNNNNNNNNNNNNNNNNNNNNNNNNNNNNNNNNNNNNNNNNNNNNNNNNNNNNNNNNNNNNNNNNCACCUUAACAUAUCAGGAAAAACCAGAAGCAAUGGACUAAGUCAUAGAAAAAUGAAGUUCAAGAAAUGAACGAUUGGUGAAAAAUGAUACCAAAAAAACUGAACCAUUUUGAACCCCAACCAACCAACCCACAACACCCCAACGAAAAAAAAAAAAAAAAACUUGAAAUAAAAUAAGAGAAAAGGUUAUAUCAGAUGAGGAGGAGGAUUGUAUUAUGGCUGAUUGAACAGGUUACCCAACUACUCUGCGGCAUUUCGUUAAAUCCUCAUUCAUAAAUAUUUGCAGAAAAGAAACUUAAUUGUAAUGGACUCCCACAGAUAAAUUCAUAAUAAACGGGGUAGAAGGUUUAUUUAAAAAGUGUGCUAAUGAUUGUAACCCUGUUUCAUCAAACCACUCAACCUUCUUUACUUAAUCCUAAAACAAGCACACAUAUAAAAAAAAAUUAACACCCCACGGUCCCCAAAAUAAAAUAAAAUACUAGCAUAGUAAUAGGUAGAAGAAAAAUUCCAUAGUUUACAAACAGAAAAGCAGGGACGGACGCAAGAUUUUAAUUAUGAGGAGGCAAAUGUACAUAUAGAACCACACAAUCCAUAACCGAUGCCUGACAUACAAUACAUGGGUUUUUUUGAAAAAACUCUGGUUGGCAGUCGCCACCGCACCCCUGUACAGGAAAAUUACUAAUCCAUAAAACUCGAGUAGUAGAAACCCAGAGAGCAAAAACCGGAGAAUUGUGAUAGAAAGCCAGUUUACUUAUUAGUAGCAUGGAUAGAAGUAGAAGGCAGCGCAAUUUACAAGGGCAAUCAAAAAUCAGCCAUCACGAUGAAAGCAGACAGAGCAGAUGGAGAGAAGUAGAAGGACCAUAACCAAGAUGUGAAAUGUUCGACAGACAAGGGGGAGAGGGAAAUCAACAGGCAACAUACAAAAAGCCUCACAGGCUAAAGGCAUCAGAUUAAAAAACAAGGACUACCAUCACUACUAACACACACACUAGCCUCCAACAAAACCAACAACAAACCACCACCAAAAACUUCCAGCAAAGGGUCAAGUAGGGUAAAUGGAACCAGAGCAUAAUUUUUUUAAGCUAUUUUCUGCUCAAGGAAGGAAACCAAAAAUGAUAACAUUUCACAAUAUAUGGUAAAGUCUCUUAUUUGUUCAAUGGCAACGACAAACUUCCAAAGACAGAGAAUGUGCGUGGCACAAGAAAGCUAGAAAGAGAGGGGCGGGUGGGGAGGGGGAUGGAGGAACAGAGGAAGUAGGAGGAACCAUAAACAUAUACAAGUGAUUUGGGCAGAGGUAUUGAAAGGUGAAGAUCAACAUACAGAGUAUCAAUGACCACAUUCACACUACUACAAAAUGUCAUGGCUUAACGUAGCAUUAAUCAACAGGUAACAGACUACAUAAAAUCCAACAUAAAAUUUAUACAGAAGAAAGAAACAAAAAUUUCCUUCAGGUUCAAAAAUUAAACCAGAAACACAAAUAACAAAAAACACAUCACAGACCAAUCAAUAGAUACGCACGCGAAUCCAAAUUCAAAACAGCGAAACGAAAAUCGGGCAAUGGCGAGAGGGUUGGUUUUACCGUGAAGGGCUUGUGAUGACGCAAGGAUCGGAGGCUGAUUAAUCAACGGAGGCGGCCACACGAUUUUCCGGACAGCCCCAGGGGAUUGUCGGGCGAUCGCCGUUCCAGUUCUCGCGCCGAACUCGCUCCACGAAUCGGCUCAAUAUGCGUUCUUUCUUCGGGCGACCACGGUCCCCUGACUCGGCGCUGCCUCCGUCGUAGCCGAUGCCCUUUCGAGCGCAGGAAUCACCGCGGAAACCACCCGUCUUGCGGCGAGGAGCGGUGUGGAUGGUUUGGUCCCCAUUUUCAUUGACACUCUCUCUCUCUCUCUCGCCUUGGUUUUUCUUCGCCCUUUGCUUCUCACUAUGGAAACCGUACCUACCUUCCUAACUGAAAUCGUGGAUUUUGAUUUGAUUUGAUUUAUCGGGCAAUGUUUCGGAUUUUUCAUUUUGCCAAUUUUGUUACGUUGGUUUAUGAAAAUACCCAUUGUGCCCUUUUAGAGUUUGCAGAUUGCGUAAGCGUACGUUUUAGUGGGUUUAAUGGACCAUUUUACCUCUGUACGCCAUCUCUCUCAUAUUUCUUAUCUAUUUUUUAUUUUAUUUUAAAACAUUCAAAAAAAUUAGUAUAUACUUUUUUAAUUUAUAUUAUUUUGAUUAAUUUUAAAAAAAAUUUAACUAAUUAAGAUCUUUUAAUUGUGUAAAAAAAAUUCUUA